AGAUGAGAUGAGCACCAACCCCCACUUGAUGAAAUUUCUUUUUUUUUUAAAGAUUUUAUUUAUUUAUUUGAGAGAGAGAGAGAGAGAAUGAGAGAGAGAGAGCACAUGAGAGGGGGGAGGGUCAGAGGGAGAAGCAGGCUCCUCGCUGAGCAGGGAGCCCGAUGCGGGACUCGAUCCCGGGACUCCAGGAUCAUGACCCGAGCCGAAGGCAGUCGCUUAACCGACUGAGCCACCCAGGCGCCCCCCACUUGAUGAAAUUUCUGCAAAACCCCAGAGGGUGGUGCGGGUGCUGUCUUGUGUCAUCUUGCUCCAAACUCCCUCUCUGCUUCUCUAGUUAAUUUUCGUUCGGCUCAUCUCACUGUGCCCUCUGCCUGGGCCAGAUGUCAACUCAGUAUCUUCAGCACCUCCUCCUCUCUUUGCUUAGCUUUUUCCCAUGUGGGGCCAGGUAAGAGUGUGCCACUGGGAGGAGCCAGUGAGAGGUGCCCAGGGGAGACCUGGAGGUGGAAGAGGCAGCCAGGCCAUUGCUCUCCUUCACUGGUCACGGUCUGGCAGGAGGGCAGAUGGUGCAUACCUGGCUGCGGGAAGCUACCACCAGCUCUGACAGAUCCAGCCCUGGAUUCUGUAGUGUUGCAGGGGCUUCUCAGUCCUCUGCUCCCUAAACAUUUCCGUCUACUUUGCUUCAUCAACACCCUUUCUACUUGGGUUCCUGAGCAAAUCCUGUGCUGUUAAGUGGGACACGACACAAGUGUGAACUCAGCCCCAUCCCCAAGUCCUGUAAAAACCACUCACCACCACUUGGUCUCCCCUGAUUUUGCUCAUAGAAUUUCCAGCCCUUGGCUAUCUCUUGAGCUCCCAGUGCUGUUCACUUUCCUUUUCCAUGAUCAAACCCUCAGGUGUGCUCUGACACUCCAAGAUUUUGUGACAGUCCUAUAAUCCAUGCGCCAACUCGUCUGGAUGGUACCAACCUCAGGCCAUAGUGGCAGUGACCCCCCCCGAGUGGCCUUGGGUUUCUCCCUAACACACUGAGAGGACUCACUGACUAAAGGAAGAAUGCACGGUCUUUAUUGCUAAGUAACUGGAACGAUGUGGGUUGACCGUGUAUUAUGCCAUACUUCUUGGGACUGAGUCACUAGAUGCCUGAGUGAGGAGAGAAACAACAUCGUAGCCUAACUGUUUCUACCUUGGCCUUCUGGGGCUGCAAGGACUAGGUGUCACAGACAGUGAGUACUGUGAUUAUUUGCAACUGGAAAGUUCCAGAGGACUCAAGAAGAAAAUGUUAAGCCCUCAUGGGAUAGACAGGGUGUAUUGCUUCUUGAAAGGAGUCAACCUUUUACAGGACUGGAUAUUCUGUCCAUGCUGGACUGUGAGGUUCCUGGGAACCUUGGAGUUCCAAGCAGUUUUGUGGCAAAUCAGGCAUUUCCAUGGGAAAAAAGUGGUGAAGACCUAGACAGUUUCUGUCUGGUAACUGCAGUUAUUGUCCAGUAAUUAGAUUUCCUAUCUAGAAUAGCUAUACAUAUCUAUAUAUCAAUAUAUCUGUAUAUCCAUCCAUCCAUCCAUCCGUCGAGAGUGCUGUAAAAUCUAUGAGCGUCACUGAGCAAAUCGAGCUGCAGUGGACCAGCCCAGGCCUGUGGAAUUGCCUGUAACACUGGGCACCUACCCCCAGAACCUGUCCCUCAACCCCAUCCCAAGUGUCCUUCCUAGUCUCUGAAGGGUUUUGCAUCUGAAUGUUCCUUACCUUGGUAUCAAGAUCACAAUCCCUACUCUCAUUUGAGGGCAUUUGCAUGGUGUACCCCGAGCCCUCACCUUACUGUUAGCACCUCAAUGAUUUAAGGAUAAUCUCACACAGAGCUGGGUUUUGCUUUGCGAAUCAAUCUGAAAAUCUUUUAGUAGUGAGUUCAGAUUUAUUAAUGCAAAUAAUAUGACUGAUCUCAGUUGAAUCUCAUUUUUUAUAUGAAUCUCUGUUUUUAUUGUGGCGAUAAUUCUGUUUCUAUAUUGUAUUCUACUCUAUUUCUUAUAUUUGCCAUGUAUUUGAUGUUUUCUUUGCUCUCUUAAAAUUUAUCAUAUUCAUUUAUUUGGCAUUCAGGAUGGCUUGUGUUCUUCUGCAUACAAUUAGCACUUAAUAUCCUCAUAGGACUCUUCUAGUCCCUCUUUUUUUUAAUUUAACCUCAGCUUCCACUGCCUUGUUUCUGGCCUAGAUGGCACUCUGGGACCUCCCCACCUGUCCCCUAGCCAUCCAUUCAUGACCUCCUCCCUUCUUCUCUCCCUUCUCCUCUCAUUUUGAAAGUUGGGUUAUUUCUAUGAUGUCAGAGCCUAUCCUGGCAUAGGAUUCCCCUCUCUUGUUCCCACUCUUGUUUCAGCCUUAGAUCCACACAUCAGUGAGCUCUGUGCCUCCCGCCAGUCUCUUCAUUCAGUUCUAGCGGAGUGUCAGGAAAGACUCCAAGGACAACUGUCCCCAAGAUGCUGAUUGCCUAGAAUGGGCUGGCCACAUCCUGUGUCCUCUCUCAUGUGUUUCUCCCCUUCCUGUCUCCUCCUCUUUUCCUCAUCAUCUUCUAGCUGUUUCUUUGGCCUCUUCCUUCAAGUUCCUCCUCCUCAGUGAUCCAGGCCUCUUCCCAGACUUUCCGUCCCCUCUCCCUCUGCCUUCACAGAGGCUCCUGCUCUGAUCUUUCGGCUCCUUUGGUCCCCCCUCCAUGUUACUACUACACCCUUCCAGGUUACUCAGGGGUUAGGACCUUUGCUGGCUGACACCCACUGGAAGGUUGGGGAGCCAUUGUGCUAUUCAGGCUGCCAUGGUCCUGGCUGUCCCUGCACCCUCCUUCCUGCAGGUCUGAGAAAAACUGGAGGCCCAGUGCUGUCCCUCUGUGGCUCCUGGAGCCUGCGAAGGAGGCAGCAACUUGGUGUCGGGGCAGGGAGAGGCAGGGGAUGGGCGGGGGCUACAAGAAAAGAAAGCAAAAUCAGAACAGAAGGCAAACUCCCAAGUGAGGUAGUUCUCAGUGCCUCACCACAGGUACGUGUUGGAAAGCCCAGGCAAAAUCAGCUGCCACCCUCAUUGCUUGUAUAAGUGGCCAGAUCCAAGAGCGGCCCCUGUAGCCACUAUUCAUCUCUGUUUUUAUUGUGGCGAUAAUGCAGUUUUCUUUGGAAUUUGAGAUUCUGGCAUAUAUAGUAGUUGGUGGUCCUCAAAUAAGCCUGUGGAUGAAUUAAACUUUAUCCCAAACUUGGUUUAUCACAGAGCACACUUGACCUUCUUUUUCCUAGGGUCAGAAUAGGCUCCGUCACACCCUGCAGAGAGGCGGGGGUGGCUCAGUUCACAAGAUUAUUCUGGUAUAGCUGUCUCCCCAGGCAAAGGGUUUCUUCUGCGUUUCACCAAAGAUCUCCCCCAACUUCAAGUAAACCCAAAUAUAGCAACCAAAUUUAAACGAAAGAAAACAUUCGAAAGAGUGUGAUGCUGGUCAAGCGUUCGUUUUCUAUAAGUGUGUCAUCUGUUACGUGAUUUUUCACAGUUCUCCAGGUGUUUGUUGCCCUUUUUUCCCCAGCAAUCUGAUUUUUGCAGAGACCAGGAGCCCUAGGAGCUCCUUCUGUCUGUGACAAGACGAGACUGACAUAUCCUUCAGGGACCCAGCUACUAAGCUUGCUUCGUGUGGGAGCAAAUCACAUACCACUUUUGAUGACAUGUUGGAAUUAAUCUCUCCUCCCAAGAGCCACCAGGCUAACAGCCCCCUUUCCAGAAAAGGUGACUUCGGUGUCUUUCAUUUAUUUGCUUAAAAUUUUCAACUCAGAUCAAAACCCUACAGAGGUUUUCAUUACUUAAAUCAGCAUUUCCAGAAGUUUUCGUAAAAAAAAAAUUUGAUAUGCAAAUUGAGGAUCUGGUAUUACAUUCAUGAUUCCACAGUCAAAUUCAUUUGGAGAGUUUUGAUAUAAACACAGGUAAUUACUUUCUUUAUCACGGGAGUUCUCAGAGCCCUUACUAUGCUAGUAUGCAUGGAGGGAUGCUGUACUGCUUCCCCUUCAUGCCCACCAGCCAAGGAGGUGACUACAGGGGCACAGAGGGUGGGGAUGUCCGACCCUGCAGAGCCCGAGAGCACCUGCACUCACCUGGACCACCUGCAUCCCCCGCUCUGUUACCUGGGGACCUAGGGGGCACACUGGCGCGCCCGACUCCAGACCCAGUGAUGUGGGUUCUGGGCCUGGAUCUGAAAGGGAAACAGCAACGUAAGCACCUGGAGGAAGGGCCCAGCCCUACCACUCGGGUGCUCCCUCUGGUCCUUGUCCCCAACAGACCUCCUCACACAACUCCGGGGUGACCCAGGCUCGGUGCCCCAUUGCAUGGAAGAACUCCACCUUCAACUUCAGGAACUCCUUGUAGAGGUCUGGCCAGUGCUCCCUGCCCAGCAGGAACUGGAAGAUGCUCCGUUUGGACGUGGGGUUGUCCUCCUCCAUGUCGGAGGCGAUGUAGCUGCCGUGGGAAAAGAGGGGAAGCUUGCAGAGGUCACACUGGAGGACCUAGUGCCCAGGCCAGUCUAUCCAGGAAGGAGGGUCGGGGAAGCCCUAUCUGCAGGGAGCCUGACUCCAGAGGGAUAGCAGGACCAUCCUCAGGACCAAGCCUGUGGGGCCCACGCUGUGCUUGGCCCAGGCCAAGGUUCUGGCUGCUCGCCAUUUCCCUGGAGCUUCCUCCCUCCAGUCACUCAGUCUCUGAGCAGCAAGUGAUGUUUCUUGGCUACUUUCAUGAUCUUAGGAACUUACUCAUUGCCUUCCCCUCCCCCAUGACCGUGUGACCCCUGAAGGCCUUGUCUGCUCUGUGGCCAAGAGGAACCACUUGAGACCGUCCAGCUCAUAGGCAUGGCCAAGCCAUCCUGAUGGGGUGGUGAGGCUGUGGGAUGGGGCGGUUUGGGCAGAAUUGAGAGCAUUCCCCAAAGAGACACUCACAGGGCCAGGAAGAAGUGGAUCCUGUUAUACAGGUGUCCAGGCAGCCCGACACGGCCGAAGUACUCCACCACCAUGGAAAGCAGGUACUGUGUGGGCACGGAAGGCAGGUGAGGGGUCAGUAGAGGGAGUGAGAGUGUCCCGCACGGGCCACGGGUCCUGCCCCAUCCAGCGGCCAUGGUGGGAACCCCUCAGGUUGGCUGUGCUGAGGCCCUUUGACAAGUGGAGAGGAAUGGAUAGGAGGCCAGGAGAAGAUGCCCAUGGGCAGGGCAGGCCAUGGGCGGUGUGUCUUCUGACACUGAGAGCAGGUCUCUCCAGGGCUUCUCCCGCCUGGCCAGAAAUCUGGUUCUCUGUUCCUGCCCCAUGGGGUGGUGACUCUGUGGACCCCUCAGGCCCUCAUCAUUUUGGUGCUGCAGAUACCUUAUCAGAUACUUUGAGGAAAAUGUCAGCUUCCAAGAAGCUCUGGAUCACGGGAUCCUCUGCAAAGGAAGGGAGAAGUGAGGAGGGCCUUGGAGCAGGCCUUCUGGGGGCUGUGGGACACUCCAGGGGGAAGGAGGAAAACCAGAGCCUCCCUCAAGUUCCAUUGUUUCCUGGAAGUGGAGGCAGUGUCCCUUCUGCCAGGAGGUUUGUGAGUCUUAAUAUUUGUGACAAUGGCCACUCCUUCCAGGGAGGCCUAUGUCGUGAGUUUCAUCUGUAGGGCUUGGAUUUCGCUAUUGUAAACUUCCACGUGAUGGGCAGGGAUUUGUUGAUCACAGAGAUGCGACCUGGCUCUCAAUGCUUAACACAUUUGUCUCAAGCCAGAGCUUGGAUGUGGCCAUGGGUCUCUAUGACACCACAUUUGUCCUUGUCACUUUAUCAUGCUGGGGCCGGACAAAGCUUCCUGCCGCCUCCCGUUAACUGAGCGCCCUGAGCCUGUGGUGGUCAGUUCGCAGCCCCUGGGGGUGCUGGGAGUACUGCCCUCUUUCUCCUGGAUCCCCUCGCUUCCUGCAGAUAAUGACCUGUGCCCCCCACCCCCAAUCCCAACUCUGGGAUUAGAGUUGUCCCCUGGAGGUACCAUUUUCCAGGGGAGACCUGAGAAUGUGGGUGCUGUCUUUCCCUCCUUGACUGGGACAAUGACACUUGCACAACAGGGAGGAUGGAGGAGUCAAGGGUUAUUUCGUUCUCCUUGACCCUUCUCCAGUCAGUCUGGCUCUCUGCAAUAGAACUCUGUGAUGAUGAAAGUGUUCUAGAUGUGCACUGUUCACUAUGGGAGCCAUUAGCCAUGUGUGGCUACUGUGCACUUGAAAUGUGGCUCAUGAGACUGAGAAACUGAAUUUUUAAAUUUAAUUUUAAAUGAGUUAAAUCAGGUUUUAAUAGCUACAUGUGGCUAAUGAAUGCUGUAUUGGACAACGUGAUCACAGUGUUGUCUCCAGAACUAUCACACUUAAUCCUGCCUCUGGUCCUGAUGGCCCCUUCUCAGACAGAGUCCCUGGAGUAUCCCAUCUCAUAGAGCUCCCCUCUCCUGCUUCGUGUUCCAUCUCCAGGCAUCAUUGCCUUUGAAUAACAUUACUUCUCUGCAUUUGUCACUGGCUGAGAACAGCUUAUUUCUAUAUGGGUUUGUUUUUUGUCUCCUCCCACCUUGAACGUACAGACAGCAAGAUCUAGGUUGUCUUUUCAUCACUAAUCUCUAAAAUCUUAAUUGGAGGGAAUACAUGAAUGUAUCCCAGUGGGCAGAGGAUGCACCCCUUGGUUGGUUCUGAAAUGUCUUGACUGUUGAGCACUCUCCACUGUAGCCUCCUCCCUCUCCCUCUAAGAACUUGUCUCAGGAAAAACUUGCCAGCACCCCCAGCAGAAGCAGGGUCGCUCUGUGUCCGUGCCCCCUGGACCCUUUAUAGCUUAGAGCCCGGGGGUGGUUUGAGCAUGAUCCCAGAGCCACUGCCUCCAACAUGAUCCCUACUCAGCAGGACCCUGAACGCUCCAUCUGCUCAGAGCACACACCCAGAAGUCGGUAGAAUGCUUCUUGGUCUUCAGGACGGUAACUGGGUCUUCUCCUCUUGUUCAUCCUGAGUUUUGUUCCCUCAACAUGAUUGACUGUCCAUAUGUUCCUCUUCUGUCCCCUCUUCUUCCAGGACCUCAGCUCAGAGAUAGCUUCUGAGGUGGUAGAGUUGGAGGCUGGGACGCUGCUCUCCUGGGCACCUGCAGAAACAAAAGAUUCUGAGUCAGCGUGGAUGUGACCCACCUGAGAAGUGGAGUCCUUGCCAUGCAGCUCACUCUGAACACUGGGCCUGGACUCAGCCUUGUGAAGACAAGAUGCUCAGCCUCUUUACCAGCUUCCGGGAGCACAGCAUCCACAGAAGCCCCAGCACUGAAGCCAGCACCUGAAAUCCUUACAGCUCCUUACAGGUGGGUGUGGCGCGUCAGGCAGAGCACUUAACUGUCUCCUCUGUCGCUGAGCCUUGCACGCUGCAGCGACCCUGGGGCCUCUCCAUUCUACUCCCCGCCUUGCACACCCUAUGUCCUCUCUCUGCCAGGCUCUCCAGAGCCGCCCUUGCCAGCCCCGGCCCUCCUCUGCCCUCCCCCUGGAACACUGCCAUUAGCUGACCCCAGGCUCUCCCCUCCCUCUGCUCUGCCCUCCCCUGCCCCCACCACCCUGGGUCUGCUCUUAGGAGAGUAGGGCUCAGCUGAUUCCUGUGGUUCCUCCCUCCUCCCCCAUGAUUCCUCAGCUUGAGCAGAAACCGUCCACCUCUUACCUGUAGUCAUGAAUGACUAUAUCUGUAGCUUAUUACUUUGUGUGGUUUGAAAAGUCUUUUGUUUGUUUUUUAAAUCAAGAUAGCUUGCAUAUAUAUAGCUUUUUUUUUUACCCUUCAAAGCCCUCAUUCAUGAUCUCAUGUCAUGGUCUCCGAUCCCCGAGUGUGGAAGGGCAGUGAUCACAGAGGUCUUGGAGGCCCCGCGGCCCACAGAGCAGAAGAGGCUGAGGCGGUUGUCACAUUGUCCUGGCAGGGGGAGGAGUCCCACGUGGCCUUCCUUCAGGCCCCCCUGUACCUUGGUGACCUGGCCAACUGUGUAGACCAAAGCAUCCACGCCAGCUGGAACACUGCCCGUUCUCAUGGACACACCACUGUGUAUCUGGGCCGGCUCCCAGUCUGGCCACACAAAGCCAUGUUCUUCUGCUUCCAGAGGCUCAGGAGUGCGGGGUGCAGAAGGUCCUUCCCUGGGAGGCUUGGCUUCUGCAUCAGGAGCCGAGCUUCCUUGCACUGGUGUUUGUCAGGGUGUUUCGGGGUGUGCAGGAGUCUGAAGCCAAAUUUUUCAGCCUCUAUUGGAGAAGCAAGUUUUAUUAUGUAAACAUUUGAAGAGGGAGUGGAGGAAGCCAGCAGGGAGAGUCCUGGGGUGGAUGAUUAUGCAGAGUUGCAAGCAGCCCUGUCAGGGACAGGUCUUCAGUGCUGCGUAGGUUCUGACCUGGGGAGAUACCCCUGCCCCUCCUUCUGGCUGUCUCUGUGGGACACUGGUUCGUCUGUCUGGCCUCCUCUCUUUUGCAACCAGCGCAGCUCCAGAACCCUCCAGCAGCACUCCGGGUGGACAUGCCCACUGAUCAGAGUUGUUGUGGGUCAGGGAAGCUGUGGCCAUUAUCAUUUUUCACACUGGGGCCCAUGAGCAUCUUCAGCUCCUUCAUAUACCUUAUGGCUUAUACCUGAUACCUUUAGUUAAAAAAAAAAACAAACAAAUUAAAAAACUCCCAGUGUAAACAGAGUAAUUAUGGAACCUUGUCCUGCAACCUAAUCCAGCUUUAAAAAAAUCCUAAAAAACACAAAAAGCAACUGUAUGCUCUAAGUCAGCUGUAUGGAGACGUUUUGUUGUGCGUUUCAAGCGUUACUGCAAUCCUUCCCUGCCUGGCCUUAGCUCUGGCCCCACUUCCUCUUGGAAACAGGGGCAAGGGGCUGACACUGCACGCCAGGCCCGGCUCCACAAGGACGAAGCCAGGGCAGGACCGUAUUUAACUGAAUUCCACAGACAAAAUUUUCCUAUUAUUCCAUACUUGCACUGUUAACUAUGAAAAAAAUUUUUCUUGUUAUUUUUGGUGGAAAUUGCUCUUCAAUAGUCUAUUUAUUUAUUUAUAAAAAUUUUGUAAAGAUUUUAUUUGAGAGAGAGGGAGAAUGCGAGACAGAGAGCAUGAGCGGGGGGAGGGGCAGAGGGAGAGGGAGAAGCAGGCUCCCCGCUAGCAGAACCCUGGGAUCAUGACCUGAGCUGAAGGCAGAUGCUUAACCAACUGAGCCACCCAGGCGCCCUUCAAUAGCCUUUUUAAAUGACAAAGCCAACAGAUAGAAAACAUAAAGGGACAAAGGAGAAAAUAAAAAAUGAACCAUCAUUUUACCAUCCAGAGAUAGCCACUUUUGACAUUUGGUAAUAUUUCUUUCCAGUUAUGUGUAUACACAUUGCAGUCUUGGAAUUGUUGUGUAUAUAAUUUUGUAUAGCUAUAACUUUUCACUUAACAUUACAGCACAACUGUGUUUCUCUGUCAUUAAAUGCUCUUGAAGUCACCAUCACUAAUCACUGCUGUUUCUUCCAUUGUAUGGAUAUACCAUAAUUUAUUUAACCAUUCCCACAUUAUGAGACAAAUACACUGGUGCCAACUUUUUUGGAACUGUAUAUGAUGACGCUUCAAUGAGCAUCUUUGCAAAUAAAUCCAAGUUUCUGACCUGUUCGAGCAGUGGAUUGCCAGAAGGUGGGUGAGGGGUGGAACUCCGAUUGCCACAUUGCUUUCCAGAAUGGUGAUUUCAAACACGGAUGGGUGAGGCUUGCGGCGCACAUCAGCAGCAUCAGCUGGAGACUGUGGAGGUGUCAGAAUUGUCCAUCUUGAUUUUCACUUUCUUCCUGUCACUCCUGAGGUGAUGUGAGAGGUCAAGGUUUGACUCGUUACUUUAAGAGGCCCAGGCCAAAAGAGAGUAAGCAAAUGAACGCUUAUUGAGAAUUUACCUUGUGUGGCAACCUCUGGAAACAACGAUAAUAAUAACAUGAUGCCUGGGAAGGAGCUCUAUUCUGGAACAUUCCACACACUUUCUUGGCUUCAUGAAGUCUUUACUAACAUCUUUAUUAUUUUCGCUUUUAGGGUAUCCAGGUUUUAAAGACCUUGUAUAUGAGGUGAAGUCAUAUAAAUCAUCUAAGUUGUGGUAAGCAGUAAUGUCCAGUGGGCGUAUGGACGCCUGGACACUGGCCAUUCUUUUUUUUUUUUUUUGAAGAUUUUAUUUAUUUAUUUGAGAGAGAGAGAAUGAGAGACAGAGAGCACGAGAGGGAAGAGGGCAGAGGGAGAAGCAGACCCCCUGCCGAGCAGGGAGCCCGAUGUGGGACGCGAUCCCGGGACUCCAGGAUCAUGACCUGAGCCGAAGGCAGUCGCUUAACCAACUGAGCCACCCAGGCGCCCUGGACACUGGCCAUUCUUAUUUCUGGUUUUCUCUGUUCCUGAUCAACAGUCAGUCCAUCCUGGGCACACUUAGGCCCAGGCUGGAUGCUCCCUCCGAGCAAUGUCAAAAUUGUCACUUUAUACAUCACUCUAAGGACGUAGAUUCUGAAGAAGGCAGUGCUGAGGGGGUCUAGAGAAGGGGAGUUGGCUUUCUGAGAUAAUUUUUCUCUUUCCUUCAGGUUCAAUUUUUUUUUUUCUUUCCCCUGCUAACUGCUAAGUUCAGAGUCUCAGGGGGUGAAGUAGAUUCUUAGCACUGGAGAAGUGGAACACUAUGAUUCUCAAAUUCAGGUUUAUUUCUUCUAAAUACCCAGAAAAAUGAUGUGUGGAAAUGUCUUCGCUGAAACCAUGCCACUUGCAGCCAGACGCACACUCAGCCUGCAUUCGAGGUGCUGAAGUAACAUGACAGAUGGUGGGUGGGGAGAAGGCCCAAAGAAUGCCCUCCAGGAGGCAAGCUCCUGGUCCCAAGGUUAGACCGCCCGCCACCGCCUUCUUCCUCAGAUACCCAGGUGCCGAGGCUCACCCUGGGGCGGAGGGUCUAGCAUUAGACCCUCCAAGCUCCUUUCUCUCCGGGGUGCUGGCUUCUGCCAGAUGCCAGCAGGAAAGGGAGAAAUGGCCUGACAUGCUGCACGCCAAUGUGAGAUGCCCCAAAACAACGCGGUAGCAUCUGAUGUUCCCAGGAUUGAUUGGGGGUUCCAACCACGGCUUGUGUGGCCCUGUAAACAUUAUUCAAUCUCUCUCAGCCUCCGCUUCCUCAUCUAUAAAAUGGGCUCAUGGAACUGCCCCCGCCCCCCCUUAAGUUGGUUGUGACCCUGUAUUGAAAGAUCCUAGAUUGGAAAUGUAGUGUAAAAGCUUAGAAGGUGCUGGGUCAAUAUUGCUGUUCUUGUGUCUCAUCCCACAGAACAAUCAGCAGAGGCUCCUGGGGUGCUUCUAAUGGCGGGCUUUUGGUAUGUGGAGAGACCUCGGAGGGAGAUAUUUCCCCCAAGCACAGACAUAUUCUUGUGACCUUAGGCGGUGCUCACACCACAGGCACGAUUCAGGGCAGUUCCUCCCCGUGGGGUUUGGAGUCCCUACUCCUCCUCACCCUGGCGCCCCAGGGAGUGCCUUUGGAUUCCUGUCCUCUGUGUCUUGCCUGAGUCCCCACAGGCUGCCUUGGCUGAGAGGCCCUGAACCCUGUGCUCAUCAGUCAGCUAUCAGGCAGAGGUGCUCUCUAUGUGCCUAAGCCAGGUGGGGAAUUGCAGGGAGCCCAGCCGGGUGCAGGGUACAGAAUGGCAGGUGCAUGGAGUGUCUAGAGGCCCAUGGGCAGUGCCAGGCCAUGGGCAGACAGAGGUGGGGCUGUCCCCUCCCCUGCUGUGACCUCAGUGCUAUCUCAGACCAAAAGCAGGAGACUCCGAUGGGGACAGAGGGCCCCAGUCGCCCCCAGGGCAGUACUCGGGAACAGGCAACUUCAUAGCCCAUUGCUACCCAGAGUCCAGCCCCAGGAAGGCAGCCUUCGGCUUGUGGCCUGGGCUUAGUCCCCGCCAGGUGUGACCACACCACCUGAGCUACGUGACACAGCGUGGUGACUUUCAUGCUGGCUGCCUCUUGCAGGAUGGCCGUGGGGCCUAGCUGGCCCCGGCACAAUCUCGGACAGCUGGGCUUCUGGCAGUUAGCCCCCCUGACAAGGAAACGGGCCUUGACCUGUGCUUGCUGUGUGGCUAAUAGGAGUUUACCGAGCCCAGGACUGAUUUGGAGCUUACUAACCCUGGUUUCCAGAACUGGGCUUAUGUUGUACCUAUCCUGGAGGCUGUAUUUUUUUAUUUAAAAAAAAAAAAAAAAAAAGAAUAUCUUACUCAGGGUAUAACUCUUCACAGCUAAUCCCAGUGCAGAGAAGAAUGAAUGCUCUUGGUGUUUUCUCGAGGUCUCUUAAAGGAAAUCUCUCACCGUUCUCUUGGGUGUGGCAUUUGGCUGCUGGGAACACAGUUUAUCUUACAGAGGAAACUGUUUCGCAAGAGGUUUCCCACAAUUAUGGUCUGAGGGAGGGUCCCUGCCAGCUUUUCUUAGUCAUUUGGGCUUAGAGGGAAGGUGGGUUUUGUUGUUGUUGUUUGCCUUUUUUUUUUUUUUUUAAAUCUGAAGGCAGGAGCCAUCUGGGAGUAGGCACACAUGGGUAAUUACCCUGAGUUAGGGAGACAAAAGGAUUGCUGAUCAGCAGCUCUCAGGGCUGCUGCAGGUGGCUGAUGGCUUUUGGUGGAAUGUCACCAAGUACUCAGGCUACGGGGUGAGUCAGAAAUCCUUAGGUCACUUGUGGUUUUCUUUCAUGGUUUUGCUGUGACUAUUAACUUGUUUUUACUUAACAAGAAAAACAGGUGUUUGGGUGUCUGAAAGAGUGCUGCCCUCUCCUAGCAGCUUACUGUAGUCACAUGGCUGCCCCAGUUUGGUCCACACUAAAUAGAUAACCAAAAAUGAGGGAGAACCAGCAAACUCUUUAGACAGGGCCUCCCGGGACACUCAGAUCCUUGUGAUGCUCAUGAAGAGAGUAAGUGAGCUUAGAGUCAUCCAUCCUUUGAUAGUUUGAAUUGCUGGAUCGGUGAGACAGCCCCCCCGGGCCCCCUCCGGGGCUCAACCUCCCUUUGGAAGUGAGUGUGUGUGCUCUGCCCCUGGCUUUGAGUUUUCUAUAUCCCGCCUGGAUGAGCUGACAGCUCUCACCUUGAGUUCUGGUGCUUUUUGGAUGGAAAUGAAAGCACCACAUUUGUCCAAACCCAGCGCUGGGCUUUCUUUUCACCUGACCAGGCAGCCGGACUCUGCAGCUUUUGCAUUCCCGCUAACAUCAACGCACACACUCCGGAUUCCCAAUCCCAGGAGAGAAUGGCUGCCUCCCCUGCUGCAGGCGCUCACCGCUUCCCUCCGGUCCUCAGGCCUGAAAGGAUGAGUUUCAGGCUUCACUGCAAAGACCUUCACAAUGGGACUAUUUGGUUCCAAUCAAACCUGCUCUAUUCACAGGAGUGAAAGUGAUGGGAGGUGCCAGAUUGGGCCCUCAGCCUUGGGACUGGAAGUUGCUAGAAUCUGCCAGACACAGACCAGGAAACUUUUUUUUUUUUCUUACCAGGAGUUAAAGGUGGCCCCAAAUGUCCUCCCAUGACCCCCAUUCCCACUGGACCUGCAUUAUACCUGUCUGUGACCUUUAGACACGGAGCUCUUCAGGGUUGGGCUUUUCAUUCGCAGCUUGAGCAAGGCGGCUGGUGGCCAAAUAGUGACCGCCCAGGGCACACCUUCCUGGUCCUCUGCCACCAAGCCAGACCCCAAGGCUGCCGGCCCCCUGGAAAUCGUGGGGUGCCUGGACUUGCCCUUCUAUGGCAGGGGAGCUGCAGAGAUUUGCUGCCUCGCCACAUCACCGACGCGGGCAGGAUGGAUCAGCGUGGCGGGCUGAGUCAGACAUUGGGGUCAUGAGAAAUGAACGUGGGCGCCUGGGUGGCUCAGUUGGUUGAGCGACUGCCUUCAGCUCAGGUCAUGAUUCUGGAGUCCCUGGAUCGAGUCCCGCAUCGGGCUCCCUGCUCGGCAGGGAGUCUGCUUCUCCCUCUGACCCUCCCCCCUCUCAUGUGCUCUCUCUCUCUCUCUCAUUCUCUCUGUCUCAAAUAAAUAAAUAAAAUCUUUAAAAAAAAAAAAAAAGAAAUGAACGUCGCAGGAGUCGCUUGCGAGGGAGGGAGCUGGCAGGGACAGCGCAGCAGGAGGUGCCUGCAGUGCAGCCAGGGAAACAGGGAAACCGCAGUACAAGUCACCUCUGCCCCCUCCCCGGCCGUGUCACCAGGCUUCCACCGUGUGUGGUGCAGAGCAGUCAGUUCAUUGGUCGGACGGAUUGUUCUCUUUGCGAGGUGAGAGAUGGUGUGGGGUGGGACACCUGUCAAUACGUCAUGGGUCAUUUUCAGGGCCAUCUUUUAUCUUCCUCUUCCUGUUUGUAGUUCUUGGAGGGACACGUCAGCAGAACGGCAAGUAGACACCUGGGCUGCCAUGAAUGAGUGAGUGCAUGGGACGGGGGCUCCGGGGCCCAUGGCCAUCCUCACCGAGGGGUGGGCUGCCUGUGGGAAGCGGAGCUGAGCCCAGCCGACCCGAACCCUCAUCAGUGAGGGGGCAGCGAGCCGUUGCAAAUGAGGGGGCAAGUGGCUUGUGGACAGAGGGAUGUUCUCUCCGGCAUAUCCUUGCUGGGAAAGUGGAGCUUCAUCAGGACGAGGCCCAGCGGGCAGCUGCCCUUGUAGCAGUUGAGUUUCCUCUGGUCUCUACAAUUCUCAUGUUCGGGGAGUAACUGUGUCCGUGCUGCCCCCCUCCGCCCACACUGUGCAAAGGGCUCGGUCUGCUGGCACAGAAGCACCCCUGCCUCCCGAGGGUGUGGGUGUGGCUGGCUGGUCACCGUCUGCUGGCUGCCUGCCCUCAUCAAGGGCAGAGGCGGUCCCGCUCAGCCUUCUGGCCCCCCGGAGACACCUGUCAUGCCGGCAGGCACCAUGAAAACCCUGAGAGCUAGUGGCCCAGGGUCAGAGGUGGGCAAGAGUCUUAAAAUCCAUACAAGCCAUUCCGAAGGUUUCCCUUGAUUUGACCAGCAUUGAUUGAGCACCUACUGUCUAUGGGGAGCUGUGUCAGAAUCAAAAGGAGGUAGCUGUUGCUGGUAACAGGUGAGACGAGGUAUCCGAACAGGAGCUGCCGUCCUGCUCCCCGGAGCCUGGAGGAGUUCUUAGAGAAAUGGGGGUGGGGUGGUGGUCCUCAGAGACUGCCAGCAGAAGAGAAGUGUUAAUCCUCUUACUGUAAAAAUUGGAUCCCUUGUUUUUGUCUAUCUGGCUGUGGCUCUAGGAACAGAAUCAUGCCAAAUGCUUGCUGCUUACCUGCCUGGUCUGAUCUUCCCAUCUAAGGUCAGGUCUGGACACAAAGCUUGGACGAUUGGUGCCCAAAAGAGGGACCAGGAGGAGGGGAGACCCCCCGCCCCAAGCCUCCGACGCCUCCUCCUACUCUGUCUUAUUGGCAUCCAAAGAAACCAAGGCGUGUUUGGGGUGAGCUCUGCUCUGUGUGUUCCCUCAUCUCUCUCCUCCCUGUGCUGGGCAGCGCACGGCCUCUCCUCUCCCAGCCCGCCAAUGGCCACAAUCUCUCCCUGCUCUAGAGUCAACACUCCCCUGGAACAACUUCUCACUUUGUGCCAAGCAGUGUGUGGCCAGGGGAGAGACAGGCAGGCUGAGCCUGUUCCCGAAGAACACUUCCUUCAGGAGAGAGAAAGGACACAGUGAGCCCAGGGCAGACCCUCCCAGCACAGGCUGAGCACCCCAUCUCUGAGCAGCCGAGAGUUACAAACAUGUGGGAGGCGUUGUCAUUUGGGCCUCCCUUCCUGAGGUCGGCCUAGCUUACUCUUUGAGCUCACACUUCAGCACAGUGUCUUGGAGAAAACGGUGGACCGAUCCCCACACCCCUGCAGUGUCGGGAUAAACACUUUAUCUCCACUCAGCUUGCUGACCUGCCCCCAGGGAGAAGCCGUGUCUUGUCUGACUGGGGAGACUGGUGAGAGCCUGGGCCACAUUUACAAGGGAAUAUGGCCACCAUGUUGUUUCAUUAGUGUUCUCUCUUUUGCACCCCACAUACACAUCGCCAUGAGUCCCACCAAUUGGGAGGAAGGGCCAGGGCUCUUCUCUGUUUUCUUUCCAAAUGGGAAGCACAUCUGGGGUAGAACCAGUCUUUUUGACAGCCCAUUUCUGUCCUGCCAUCUGCUGGACCUAAUGCGCCUGGCAUAAUCUUCCAAACAGUACUUAGCAGACCCAGACUUCCUCUGGAAGUUCCAAGGCCUAGACUUGAAUGUGAUGCUAGGAGCCCCCAGCUUGCCUUCUGGGACCAACCAAGUUCUCCAAUCCAGCUUUUUCACAGAGCUGUGAACUUUGCAAGUUUCAGGCCAUAUCAUCCUUAUUUUCAUCAAGUUUUUUUUUUUUUUUUUUAUGCAUAGGCUGUAAGAUUUCAGGGAAAUUCAGGUUUUCUUGAACAUUGAUUAGUCACAAAUACUAUUAGGAGCGACAACAUUCAUUAACAAGUUUGCCUCCAUGUCCUUGUUGUAGUAACACCUUACAAUCCGCAUUGGCCUCAUGGACCAGUCUCUGUUCCCUGGUGUCUGGGGCCUCAGCUGGGGAGACACAAAGGCUGGUGGUGAUGGGGGCUGAGGCCUGGAAUCAUCUGAAGACCUGUUUGUAAUUGCGGUGGUUGAUGCCAGUUAUCGACGGGGACUUUAUCUCUGGCACGAUCAUCUGGAACACCUAGGUUUUUUUUUUGGCUGAGAUUAACAUUUAAAUGAGCAGACUUUGAGUAAAGUGGAUUAUCUUCCAUAGAGUCCAUGGGCCUCAUCCAAUCAGCUGAAGGUCUUAAGAGAAAAAAGACUGACUUCUCCCAAGGAAGAGGGACUUCUGUCAGCAGAUUGCCUUCGGGUUUGAGCUGCACCUUCUACUGUUCCCUGGGUUUCCAGCCUGCAGGCCUAUUCUGCAGAUUUUGGGCUCAUUGGCUUCCAUAAUUACAUGGGCCACUUCCUUAAACUCUUUGUCCAUAUAUCUGAAUCUGUAGACCCCUGGCUGAUUCAUCCAUACUAUGGUUGUACCAGUUUGUUUAGCCAUUCACCCACUGCAGGACAUCUUGAUUAUUUUGUUUUGGGUACUAUAUAUAAAAAAGCAAAAAUAAAAGUUUGUGUAUAAGUUUUCAUGUGAACAUACAUUCAUGUGAUUUGUUUUCUUACACUUGUUGAUGGUGGACCACAUUGAUUGAUUUUUAAGUAUUGAACGAACUUUGCAUCUCUGAAAUAAACUCCACUUGAUCAUGUGGUAUUCCUUUUAUAUACUGCUAAGUAUUAUUUAUUAAUAUUUUGUUAAGAAUUUUAGCAUCUAUAUCCGUGAGCUAUAUUGCUCUGGAGUUUUCUUUUUUUGUACUAUCUUUGUCUGAUUUGAUAUCAGGUAAUACUAGGUUCAUAAAAUAAAUUGGGAAGUGUUCCCUUCUUUUCUGUUUUCUGGAAGAAAUUGUGUAAAAUUUGUGUUAACAUUUUUUAAAACAUUUGUUGAAAUUCCCUUCAGUGAAGUCAUCUGGGCCUGGAGGUUUCUUUUUGUGGAGUUUUUAAAUUAAGAGUUAAAUUUAUUUAUUAGUUGUAGGGCUAUUCAUAGUAUCUGUUUCAUCUUGCCUGAGUUGUGGUAGUUGGUAAUUUUCAAGGAACUGGUUUAUUUCACCUAAGUUGUCAAAUUUAUGCACCUAAUGUUUUUCAUAGUAUUUCCUUAUUAUUCAAGUAAUGUCUGCUGUAUCUGUAGUUUUGUCUCAUUUCAUGGGUGAUAUUGGUAACUUGUGUCUUCCAUCUCUCUUUUUUUUCUUUGUGAGUCUUGCUAGAGGUUUGUGAAUUUUAUUGUUUUUUUUUUUCAAAGAACCAGUUUUUUGUUCCAUUCUUUGUCUCCAUUGAGUUUUUGUUUUUAAUUUUAGUGAUUUCUGAUUUUUCUGAUUUCUGGUGCUCCCCCUGCCCCGAGCAGGAGAGGUUUGAACUGAACUAUGGUGGGGAAAGUGGAGAAGUGAGUUGGGGUGUAGAAGCUAUCCUCCCAACCUUAUACUUGGAGGGUUGCUGAUGAGAGGAGUGGAUACGUGGUAGGGAGAGGGGACACUCCAGCAGAUCUUGUAGACUCCAGGCUGCGCUGUGGAGUGAGCUGGAGGUUGGGAGGAGGGCAACCCCACCAGACACUUCCUGGCCUCUUUUGAAGGGGAUCCUGGAUCUCACAGGGCUCUGGACACUGGAGACACUAUCCCAUUUAAACCUCAGCCAGUCAGGAAGAAACGACAGAGGAAGAUGAGACUCUGUUCACAUUGAAGGCUCAGAAUGUGUCCCUCCCUCUCCCAGCUCCAAUCUGGAGCACUCCAGAGACUCUUCAUUCACAUUUAAGGAAUGCUCUCUGGGGAGGAAACUUCACAAAAAUGUUUGCAUUUGGGAACUCAAAUCUCCUACUGGGGUCCAACAUUUAGUUCUCUCUUGUUUUUGGAGGUGAGGU